rnacentral:lncRNA from 1 species
UUUUUUAUUCAGUUUUAACGGAUGUUGAACCUUAUUUAUAAUUAAUGGUUAAUUGAAUAUUCAUUAUUUAUUCCUUCUCACAUGAAAUUCAUUAUUGAUAAUCUGAUUUAAUUUCUGAAUGCUAUUUGGCUUAACUAAUUUGAUUUUUGCAUGAUUGAAUUGGUUAACGAAUAUCAUAUGCUAGAUUGUAAUUGAUAUUGUUCCUAAUCACAAGUAAUAAUUAGUAAUACCUGAUUGUGGACAAGCUUUUGAGUAUUGCUAUGAUUAUCAUAAGACAAGUUAAAUAAUCCGAGCUUAUGUGUUUGUUGCUUGGAAUAGUCUAAUUCCCUAGUUAUUAAUGAUGUUGUUAUAUUAAAUCUAGAGAGCUUGUUCUAAGUUAUAUAAUGGUUAGAAUCUUGUGAAGAACUUGUUUCAUUGAGUAACAAUCUAAGGGGAGUUUCGGGUAGCAGAGCUUGUUGUUACCUAAGACUAUUAGUUUCAUUGAAGGGUAAAUAAUGUUACACUUGAUUAAUCUAUUGUUGUAAAAAGGUGAUACUGAACUUAAGAACUGAAGCUUUUUAUUCAUUGUUAAUUCUUAUUAGUUUAUUCUUGUUAAUUUAGUUAAUCAAUUCAAAAUCCCCUUUUCAUUAGAAAUCAUAGGAUAAAUAUAAAACAAAUCACUCUUUGUGGGAUCGAUCCUUGCUUACUAAUGUG